rnacentral:rRNA from 1 species
UACGGGGGGCGCAAGCGUUGUUCGGAUUUACUGGGCGUAAAGGGCGCGUAGGCGGCCACCGCAAGUCAGUUGUGAAAUCUCUGGGCUUAACCCAGAAAGGUCAACUGAUACUGCGGGGCUAGAGUGCAGAAGGGGCAACUGGAAUUCUUGGUGUAGCGGUGAAAUGCGUAGAUAUCAAGAGGAACACCUGAGGUGAAGACGGGUUGCUGGGCUGACACUGACGCUGAGGCGCGAAAGCCAGGGGAGCAAACGGG